rnacentral:rRNA from 1 species
AGCGAACGCUGGCGGCAGGCCUAACACAUGCAAGUCGAACGAUCCUUCGGGAUAGUGGCGGACGGGUGAGUAACACGUGGGAACGUGCCCUUUGGUUCGGAACAACUCAGGGAAACUUGAGCUAAUACCGAAUGUGCCCUUCGGGGGAAAGAUUUAUCGCCAUUGGAGCGGCCCGCGUCUGAUUAGCUAGUUGGUGAGGUAAUGGCGCACCAAGGCGACGAUCAGUAGCUGGUCUGAGAGGAUGAUCAGCCACACUGGGACUGAGACACGGCCCAGACUCCUACGGGAGGCAGCGGUGGGGAAUCUUGCGCAAUGGGCGAAAGCCUGACGCAGCCAUGCCGCGUGAAUGAUGAAGGUCUUAGGAUUGUAAAAUUCUUUCACCGGGGACGAUAAUGACGGUACCCGGAGAAGAAGCCCCGGCUAACUUCGUGCCAGCAGCCGCGGUAAGAC